rnacentral:rRNA from 1 species
GACGAACGCUGGCGGCGUGCUUAACACAUGCAAGUCGAACGGAAAGGCCCUGCUUUUGUGGGGUGCUCGAGUGGCGAACGGGUGAGUAACACGUGAGUAACCUGCCCUUGACUUUGGGAUAACUUCAGGAAACUGGGGCUAAUACCGGAUAGGAGCUCCUGCUGCAUGGUGGGGGGUGGAAAGUUUCGGCGGGUGGGGAUGGACUCGCGGCUUAUCAGCUUGUUGGUUGGGUAGUGGCUUACCAAGGCUUUGACGGGUAGCCGGCCGGAGAGGGUGACCGGCCACAUUGGGCCUGAGAUACGGCCCAGACUCCUACGGGAGGCAGCAGUGGGGAAUAUUGCACAAUGGGCGGAAGCCUGAUGCAGCAACGCCGCGUGCGGGAUGACGGCCUUCGGGUUGUAAACCGCUUUCGCCUGUGACGAAGCGUGAGUGACGGUAAUGGGUAAAGAAGCACCGGCUAACUACGUG